rnacentral:rRNA from 1 species
GACGAACGCUGGCGGCGUGCUUAACACAUGCAAGUCGAACGGAAAGGCCUGCAGCUUGCUGCGGGUACUCGAGUGGCGAACGGGUGAGUAACACGUGGGUGAUCUGCCUUGCACUUCGGGAUAAGCUUGGGAAACUGGGUCUAAUACCGGAUAGGACAGCUGUUUAGUGUCAGUUGUGGAAAGUUUUUUCGGUGCAAGAUGAGCUCGCGGCCUAUCAGCUUGUUGGUGGGGUAAUGGCCUACCAAGGCGUCGACGGGUAGCCGGCCUGAGAGGGUGUACGGCCACAUUGGGACUGAGAUACGGCCCAGACUCCUACGGGAGGCAGCAGUGGGGAAUAUUGCUCAAUGGGCGGAAGCCUGAUGCAGCGACGCCGCGUGGGGGAUGAAGGCCUUCGGGUUGUAAACUCCUUUCGACAGGGACGAAGCGUAAGUGACGGUACCUGUAUAAGAAGCACCGGCUAACUACGUGCCAGCAGCCGCGGUAAUACGUAGGGUGCGAGCGUUGUCCGGAAUUACUGGGCGUAAAGAGCUCGUAGGUGGUUUGUCGCGUCGUCUGUGAAAUUCCGGGGCUUAACUCCGGGCGUGCAGGCGAUACGGGCUGACUUGAGUGCUGUAGGGGAGACUGGAAUUCCUGGUGUAGCGGUGAAAUGCGCAGAUAUCAGGAGGAACACCGAUGGCGAAGGCAGGUCUCUGGGCAGUAACUGACGCUGAGGAGCGAAAGCAUGGGUAGCGAACAGGAUUAGAUACCCUGGUAGUCCAUGCCGUAAACGGUGGGCGCUAGGUGUAGGGGGCUUCCACGUCUUCUGUGCCGUAGCUAACGCAUUAAGCGCCCCGCCUGGGGAGUAC